rnacentral:rRNA from 1 species
AACGCGAAGAACCUUACCUGGGUUUGACAUGGGUCGGGAGUGCUCAGAGAUGGGUGUGCCUCUUUUAGGGUCGGUUCACAGGUGGUGCAUGGCUGUCGUCAGCUCGUGUCGUGAGAUGUUGGGUUAAGUCCCGCAACGAGCGCAACCCUUGUUCACUGUUGCCAGCACGUUAUGGUGGGGACUCAGUGGAGACCGCCGGGGUCAACUCGGAGGAAGGUGGGGAUGACGUCAAGUCAUCAUGCCCCUUAUGUCCAGGGCUUCACGCAUGCUACAAUGGCUGGUACAGAGAGUGGCGAGCCUGUGAGGGUGAGCGAAUCUCGGAAAGCCGGUCUCAGUUCGGAUUGGGGUCUGCAACUCGACCUCAUGAAGUCGGAGUCGCUAGUAAUCGCAGAUCAGCACGC